GACGAACGCUGGCGGCGUGCUUAACACAUGCAAGUCGAACGGGCCCGCCCCUGUUUUUGGGGGUGGGUUGAGUGGCGAACGGGUGAGUAUCACGUGAGUAACCUGCCCCCUGCUCCUGGAUAACUGCUUGAAAGGGCGGCUAAUACGGGGUGUGCCGGCUGGUCCGCAUGGGCCUGGUCGGGAUAGUUUCAUCUUCGGGUGUUUCGGUGGGGGAUGGGCUCGCGGCCUAUCAGCUUGUUGGUGGGGUGAUGGCCCACCAAGGCGGUGACGGGUAGCCGGCCUGAGAGGGUGGGCGGCCACGCUGGGACUGAGACACGGCCCAGACUCCUGCGGGAGGCAGCAGGGGGGGGUAUUGCACAAUGGGCGGAAGCCUGAUGCAGCGACGUCGCGUGAGGGAUGGAGGCCUUCGGGUUGUGAACCUCUUUCUCCGGUGGUGAAGGCCCUGUCCGUUGCGGCGGGGUUGACGGUAGCCGGGUAUGAAGCGCCGGCUAACUACGUG
rnacentral:rRNA from 1 species